GAUAAUGGAGAAGCCCCUAAGGACUUCAUUAGUGAUCAUGUGGUUUCUGCUAAAAUGGGUGAGCUGCCAACAGAGAGUGGAUCAGAAUCCUCUGUUUUUUACUGCCCGGGAGGGACAGAAUAUCACUAUUCACUGCACUUAUUCAGAAGAAGGUUCUCAAAACCUACACUGGUUCAAGCAGGAUCCUGGGAAAAGCCUCACUUCACUAUUUUACGUAACUACAGAGGAGAAGCAGAAUGGAAGGUUAAGAUCCACGAUCAGCAGGAAGGACCGUCAGAGCUCCCUGCACAUCACUGGUGCCCAGGCUGAAGACUCAGCCACCUACCUCUGUGCUGUGGGGCCACAGUGA